AAUAGAUACCCGGGUAGUCCACGCCGUAAACCGAUGAGUGCUGAGUGUUAGAGGGUUUCCGCCCUUUAGUGCUGCAGCUAACGCAUUAAGCACUCCGCCUGGGGAGUACGGCCGCAAGGCUGAAACUCAAAGGAAUUGACGGGGGCCCGCACAAGCGGUGGAGCAUGUGGUUUAAUUCGAAGCAACGCGAAGAACCUUACCAGGUCUUGACAUCCUCUGCCAACCCUAGAGAUAGGGCGUUCCCCUUCGGGGGACAGAGUGACAGGUGGUGCAUGGUUGUCGUCAGCUCGUGUCGUGAGAUGUUGGGUUAAGUCCCGCAACGAGCGCAACCCUUGAUCUUAGUUGCCAGCAUUCAGUUGGGCACUCUAAGGUGACUGCCGGUGACAAACCGGAGGAAGGUGGGGAUGACGUCAAAUCAUCAUGCCCCUUAUGACCUGGGCUACACACGUGCUACAAUGGAUGGUACAAAGAGCUGCGAACCCGCGAGGGUAAGCCAAUCUCAUAAAGCCAUUCUCAGUUCGGAUUGUAGG
rnacentral:rRNA from 1 species